CCCAUAUAUUUUGCUUUCACUCCCUCUAGUGGCAAAGAGGACGGAACGAUUUUUAUUAUGAAGGUUCUGCCCGACCCCUUUUUUUUGUUUACACACCUAGAGAAGACCGCAUUGCGAAGGCAACUCAUGCAUGCUGGUGUGUACCUUAAGAAGAGAAAAUUGUAACAUAAAUAAGAUAAGACAUAAGAAAAGGAAGAACGAAGACAAGUCGGAGUUCUAAGGAUAUUUAGCCCCUCGUGGAUAUCAGCUCACGAGUUCUCACGGGUUGUCAAGGCAAUAAACCCUGUUUUUUAAACUUC